rfam:Asian citrus Psyllid, Diaphorina citri - Florida Strain, whole genome shotgun sequence.
GCCUAGUUAGCUUAGUUGGUAGUGCGUCUGCCUUGUAAGCGCUAGGUCGCGGGUUCGAUUCCCACCCGGGGCG